UACGAAGGGGGCUAGCGUUGCUCGGAAUCACUGGGCGUAAAGGGUGCGUAGGCGGGUCUUUAAGUCAGGGGUGAAAUCCUGGAGCUCAACUCCAGAACUGCCUUUGAUACUGAAGAUCUUGAGUUCGGGAGAGGUGAGUGGAACUGCGAGUGUAGAGGUGAAAUUCGUAGAUAUUCGCAAGAACACCAGUGGCGAAGGCGGCUCACUGGCCCGAUACUGACGCUGAGGCACGGAAAAGCGUGGGGAGCAA
rnacentral:rRNA from 1 species